GUACCUACAUAAUACAUAAAUUUGAAUAUUUACAUUUAGUAUAUUGACCGGAUCUGUGUAUGUACACAAGCGUCUUUAUAGAUAUUUACAAUGUGGGGAUUUAUGCUUCAUGAAUUGGGAGGAUUUCUAGCAAGUUGAGUUAAAAUAAGAGAUGAGCAGAUUAACCCUAGAUCAAUUAUUUGCUAGAACUAUGAAAGAUUGAAACCUCAGAAGCUAUUUUUAAUUUAGGCAAAGAUUUUUCUGAACUCAGUUUUUGUUAUGUUAAGACUAAAGGAUUUUCUUGUCGAGGGUGAACUGAAUCCAAGGAAGGAGCGAAUACCUGUUCUUAGCAGAGGAGCAAUAUUCAAUGAAUGUUAGAAAUGUUUUGGGCCUUGGGACAUCCCAAGAUCUUGUUAAAUUCUUCUCUACAACGUGGUGGGUUCACUUUCUUUCCUUAUAUUAUUGAAUUCUGUUUGAUUUUUAAUGCCCAUUUGAAGAUCUUCACCUGAAAGAUAAUUUUAAGAUGAACGAACUCUGUUUAAAUAUAUGAAUAUCAUGUCUGGUUUCUUGAUUUAAUUAGGGUUUGAGCCAAACCGAUUUAUAAUUAUGUAGUCCGUAGAUGUACACACGUUUGAAUAUGUCCAGAUGUACACGCACAUGUGCACAUAUCCAAUUGUGCAAAUUAAAAGCUUCAUCGCUUUUGAAUCAAUAAACAUGGAAACAAUAGAAGACAUGCACCAAACUUGGUCUGGGAAAUCUUCAUUCUCCUAGAAAGAUUAGUUUUUUGGCUUGAAGCCAUCCAAAAAUAUCCUCAGAUUCUUCUCUCCAAUCAGCUGGUACAAGUACCGUGUAGGUACGGGGUAUCGUCUUCACCUAGCUUCACAGGUUUGAGCGUACCUUAUUGACUCGAUGGAAGUGGAGGAGAUAGUUGUAAGACCCUACAUUUUAACCCUAGCAUUGCUUAAAGUGAGCAUCGUCAGUCGUCCGUCAGUUCCCUAUGUUUGGUAUGUGGGUCAUGUGUUUAUUUGGUUUACUUGAGUUGCGUGUUAUGCGUUUUGUGAAGUUAAUUAUUAAAUCUUAAAGUAUUUAAUUAGUAAAUGUAUUUUAUUAAGGUUGGUGUUUGUAAAACUUCUGUUUUCCAAGUUUAUUGAUUUGAAGAAAAAUCUGUGUUUGAAUUCAUCUGGUUGCAAACUCAUUUUAGUUUUGUUGGAAAGGGAAAGAUAGCAUUUAUAUUUGGAAUUUAAACCCCUUUAGUUUCUUAUUUUUUCCCCAAUCAUUUCUUCUUUGUUGAAAAAAAAUAGUUUUAAGUUGAAUUUUGUGAAUGACUGUUAACUGUGUUUUUGGAAAAAGAUUUCUUUUGUAAAGUUUUACAUUUGGUUGUAAAAUAGAAAAUUAGUCUAUAUUUGUGUUUUAAUUUGGGGAAAGUUUGAAAUUGAUUGAAUUUCACCCUUGUAUGGGGUUAUGUUAACAAAAUUUGCCCAAAUCGAAAUUUCUUUUUUGAGAAAAACAUAUUAUAAAAAAAAUAAAUUAUAAAAUGUAAUUUAUUUUUGGAGGUCUUUGGGGUGCCGUGGGCCCCCACGACCCAUGGUUGGGGAGCCGUGGCUUCCCCAAGCCAUGGGAAGGGAGCCAUGGUGGUGGAGGCCAUGUCAUGGCCUUCCACAACCUUGUGCUGUGGGGAGACCACAACAUGGUCCCCACAACCAUGCCACUUUUUUAAUUAGUGGAUUAAAAAAUAUAUUGUUUAGAAAUUUGGAAAAAAUGAAAUUGAUUAGUUUAUUUUGGGAAAAAUAUUAAUAAUAGAUUAAUAAAUAAAUAAGGUAAUUUAUAUUUUUAUAUGUAUAACAAAUAUGUAUAAUUAUAUAAAUGAGAUUUGGUUUUUAAUUUGUAGUGAGAUGGUGAUUUUAACUAUAUGAUGUAAUUUGAAUUAUCGGUGAAUAAGAGAACCUUAGUCGACUGAUAUUUUAAAUGAAAUGGAAAAUUAUUGUCAAUUUAGAUAAGUGAAGGUGCGUGUUACAGUAUUCACAUUUAUUUUCAAAACUACAAGUCCUUUAUCGAAUGUAUCAGAUAUUGUCAUGUGGUUGGCUUCAUAGCUGUGGUUGUUUCUUGUCAAGGAUUUGUCAGUUAGUUAAUCUUAUGUGAGGGUUGAUUUGGCCAAGUGGUUUUCUAUUGUUUUGAACUCCGUGUACUAUUUUAUGUAUACCUUGGUUUUGGGAGUUCGUUUGAUUUUUGGUUAAGUGUCACAAGGGAGAGUGACUUUCGAUUGGGGGCUGCGACCAAACUGGUGUUCGUCCCUUCUUGUGGGAGUUGGCUUCACAAGUGUUUCAGUUACGUUUGGAUUUGAGCAUUUUUUUAUCCAUUUGGAUCCCAUUUGUUAUGGAUCAUUCUUUCUAUAUUUUGGACCUUUCAUGGUUAGUUGUUAUUAAUUUGAUAUUUAUGCUUUCAUGGCAAGAUGUAAAUUGUAAUGUAACAUUAUCUGAUUUUGUAACUUAGUGAUUUAGU